UUGAACGCUGGCGGCAUGCUUUACACAUGCAAGUCGAACGGCAGCGCGGGCUUCGGCCUGGCGGCGAGUGGCGAACGGGUGAGUAAUACAUCGGAACGUGCCCAGUAGUGGGGGAUAGCUCGGCGAAAGCCGGAUUAAUACCGCAUACGACCUGAGGGUGAAAGCGGGGGAUCUUCGGACCUCGCGCUAUUGGAGCGGCCGAUGGCAGAUUAGCUAGUUGGUGGGGUAAAGGCCUACCAAGGCGACGAUCUGUAGCUGGUCUGAGAGGACGACCAGCCACACUGGGACUGAGACACGGCCCAGACUCCUAUGGGAGGCAGCAGUGGGGAAUUUUGGACAAUGGGCGAAAGCCUGAUCCAGCAAUGCCGCGUGUGUGAUGAAGGCCUUCGGGUUGUAAAGCACUUUUGGCGGGAACGAAAAGGACUGUGCCAAUACCACGGUUCGAUGACGGUACCCGCAGAAUAAGCACCGGCUAACUACGUG
rnacentral:rRNA from 1 species